rnacentral:rRNA from 2 species
UGGGGAAUAUUGCGCAAUGGGGGAAACCCUGACGCAGCAACGCCGCGUGAAUGAAGAAGGCCUUCGGGUUGUAAAGUUCUGUCUUAUGGGAAGAUAAUGACGGUACCAUAGGAGGAAGCCACGGCUAACUACGUGCCAGCAGCCGCGGUAAUACGUAGGUGGCAAGCGUUGUCCGGAUUUACUGGGCGUAAAGGAUGCGUAGGCGGAUAUUUAAGUGGGAUGUGAAAUACCUGAGCUCAACUCGGGUGCUGCAUUCCAAACUGGAUAUCUAGAGUGUCGGAGGGGAAAGCGGAAUUCCUAGUGUAGCGGUGAAAUGCGUAGAGAUUAGGAAGAACACCAGUGGCGAAGGCGGCUUUCUGGACGAUAACUGACGCUGAGGCAUGAAAGCGUGGGGAGCAAACA